AUGCCACCUCUGAAAUGCGAAAAUUCACAGCAUCUCAGUUUUGAAAUGUUUUACAGUGCCAUUGCUGGACUAAUGUGUUCACAUUAUCUUUCAGAUUGAGCUUUUCUCCUGCUACAGAGUGUCAACAUGAGAUUUGUCAUUAUAGUUACUGUCGUAUUGAUCACUUUCUCAGGAUUUUCUCAUAGUAACAAAGUCGACCAGUCUCCACCUGAUGUGAUUCAGAGACCAGGAAAAUCUGCAAAGAUCCGGUGUCAACACAGUGUGAACAAUUACAAUCAAAUCAACUGGUACAGACACAUCCAGGGCCAAGAGUUCACAUUCAUGGGAUACUUGCUUCUAAAAGGACCAAACUCAGAAAAAGAGUUCACUAAAAAAAUAGAAAUGUCUGGGGAUGGACAGAACGAUGGAUCAUUGACCAUUACAAGUCUCUCGUCUAAUGACAGCGCAGUGUAUUUCUGUGCUGCAUAUUACACCGUGUUUCAGAUCCCUGCAGUUCAUUACAAAAACAUCUCUAUGAUUCUGCUAUUAGGAAAGCGAAAAACAUGA